ACAGGAAUACAUAGGUUAACGAGGCGAACCGGGGGAACUGAAACAUCUAAGUACCCCGAGGAAAAGAAAUCAACCGAGAUUCCCCCAGUAGCGGCGAGCGAACGGGGAGCAGCCCAGAGUCUGAAUCAGCUUGUGUGUUAGUGGAACGGUCUGGAAAGUCCGACGGUACAGGGUGAUAGUCCCGUACACCAAAAUGCACAGGUUGUGAACUCGAAGAGUAGGGCGGGACACGUGGUAUCCUGUCUGAAUAUGGGGGGACCAUCCUCC
rnacentral:rRNA from 1 species